UUACAGCAUGAACGAUCCGAACUGAUGGUCGUAUUGUAUUUUUGCGCUGUACUUGAGAUCGGUCAGAAAGUUCGCUCUUCAUUCCUGUUUCCUGAAUACACAGCGGGAUAAGUUCAGCAUCGCAUAGAACGUACAGCCGUCUUAUGAGACAGUAUUUGCACUACAAUGUACAAAACGCUCUUUCUGGCAAUGUUCGUCAUUUUCGUAGCCCAUAUGACGCGUACGAUGCGCUUUUUACCGAAUCAUCGAAGGAGGACCUACUAUAUUAUUGAUUUUUUGAACACGUCACAGCGCAUAUGGACUGUGCAAACCAGUAGACCAGGAAACACGACCUGCCAGUACGAUCACGUGCGUAGCGUCAACCAAAUGUUCGUUAUAUUCAACAGAAUUCUCAUGCAAGGCAGAACAAGAUUUUCGACCCAUGUUUUGUGCGAAAUUGAUUUUUGCGGCGGAGAAUAAUACAUGCGGCGUUGUGAAGCUGGGAUCAUUGACAGGGACGUCGCACACUUAUUACGAGAUGCAAGUGAGAAAUUCAUCUCUUGAAGCCAUCUUUUAUCGACGUUGUUGGAAUCACUUCUCUAGGGUCACUCGUCAGAGAAGAGUGGUUUACGACCCACAAUGCGAGCACCUAAUUAGUCUUGGCAUCAUGUCUUCUUUGAAAAAAUCAUCAUUCACAAACCACAGAUUUCUCAACUGUACAAUACCGUUGUCUUGUGUUCUACGCGUGC